rnacentral:lncRNA from 1 species
UCUCUCUAAAACAGAGAAACAGGAUUAUAAGAACAGGAAAGGGCCAACACACACUUGUUGCCUCAUUCAACAUUUUGCAAAUCUGCCUUCCUCUCUAAUAAAUCAAGUACUCCACACUUUAAUUUAGAGAGAAACAUCCAUUCCAGGAUUGCAGUUGAUAGCCCCUAACUACUGGGUCAGUUUUUCACAUUUUCAGCCCACUUGGCUGAAAACUGUCCUCCUACUUUAAUUUAGAGAGAAACAUCCAUUCCAGGAUUGCAGUUGAUAGCCCCUAACUACUGGGUCAGUUUUUCACAUUUUCAGCCCACUUGGCUGAAAACUGUCCUCCUACUCAAACACAUGCAUAAUUGCUUGUAAUCGUCCGUCACUUCUUAGAUGAACAGCAAGGUUUCAACGCGGUCAAAACACUUGUCCACAUCUACCCAUUGAUCAAUUCACGCGAUGCGACCAUCAAGUAAAUCCAGGUCAUCAUGCCUUCGUUACCUACUGUAUCACAUUUCCAACCCAAAUGUCUUAAUUCCUUCUCUAGUGUGCAUAUUGUCCGAACAACUUGCACAUCUUCGAGCAUGACAAGACAUUGUGAAGACAUCAACCUUGCCAUGCCAAUUUUCUCGGUCAAGGUCCUCAAAACCUUUCCCACCAAAAGAAGUCAGCAUCCUUGUCGAUACCCAUAAAAUGCCUCUAUAUUUUUCCGAACACAUGUUAAAAAUUUAUGUAGCUUCCUUGACAUCACCUCCGUUUGUUGCCCGAAUGUUGGGCGAUUAGUACGACUUGUUUCACAGCAUCCUCGCUCAAAUUUCCAAUGGAGCACACGACAUUUCCCAGAGUUUUGGAGCACUCCACGUCCCGAAUUUUCACAAUUUCUAAAUCAUUCCAUGUCCUACUUGUUACCCACAGUUUGCCACUAGGUUCGGGGCAUUUUCCACCGAAUUCUUGUAACUCAAGUACAAAGCCUGCAAUUGAUCACUCUGCAAUCAUCUGCAGUGGAUCACCCGAAUUGAGAUCAAUUCCUCGGCACCUUCGUCCUGUUGUUCCUGCAUCAUCAUUGUCGCAAGUUUUUCACGUUAUGGGGAGUCUCUAACACAAUGAGGUCCCAUGUAAAUGAAGCAUCUAUCAAAAUUUUUUGUUUGCCUUGAAAUGUUUCAAACAUCUCUCGAUUUCGAAGGUUGUUCCUCAUGUUUUCCAGUAGCUUUCUACCCAUUUUUAUGCCGGUCACCCUUCCCAUUUCUUUCUAUAUUUAACUUCUUUGACAAAUUAUCACUGCCCAACCUUAGUUCGACAAAAGCAUUAGCCGCAGCAAUGCCCAUAUGUAGAUCCUUCAUCCCUAUUUGCAGAGUUCGGUCUGCACCCAAAUUUGUAGUCUUGCCAUGAAGUUAAGGAGUUUGUACUCAUCGGACAUGUUCUUGAAGUCCAACAUCAAAAAAGAGAAUUCUUUCACUUACCUCUGUAUCGUGUCGAUCUGCCUCAAGUUUUGCAAAGCUUCCCCAUGCAAUUCAUGUUGUAUUAUAGGGAAGGAACUAAUCCUUCAUUUCUUUCUGUAGCCCAUCCCAAGUCAAAAAUUUUUGGCCUAUCCACAUCUCAUCUUUCUGCAACCAAGUUCUCCACCAUAAUUUUACAUCUCCGGACAUAUACAUGCUCGCGAUGUUCUUCCUCUGGAACAUGUGCAACCUUGAAAUACUGUAACAUAUCUCAAAGAAAGUUUUCUAAUUCCUUAGCAUUCUAGGUACCUUCAAACAGUUUGGUUCAGGCACCUUAAUCUUCGAGCUUGCCACAGAAUCUUUAAGACCAUUAGUUGCCCGUAUCAGCAAUCCCAGGCGCACAGUAACAUUUUCAAUCAGGCUCGUGACAUCUCCCAGCAUGGACGCUAAUUUUUUAUUCGUCACAACAAUUUCGAAAUUAUUUUGCCAGAUUUUGACUCAUUUCCUCUGCUUGCGCUGCCAAACUGGCAUCAUCAUCUAACAUCGGGGCACCUAAUAAACCCUUAAGCAUUUUAACUCGAUCUUUCAGAUUUUGACUUCUAGCCAUCUCACAGCUUUCUCAGCAACUUGAUAAAAUGUACCUAGUUCGUUUUCGUUGAACAGAAUCGAGCUCUGAUACUGGUUGUCACAGGGCUAACGGCGUAACCUACAAUAACGCAGAGGUUUUUUUUUUUUUUUUUUUUUUUCCUUCCCUAACCAGCCAAUACACGUUUUGUACUAGUGCAGAAAUGAAAAAUCACGAAAAAAUUGACCAAGUAUGCAGAAGAUUGAAAUUACUAAAGGCAAUACAGAAAUUAC